CCUACGGGUGGCAGCAGUGAGGAAUAUUGGUCAAUGGACGCAAGUCUGAACCAGCCAUGCCGCGUGCAGGAAGACGGCUCUAUGAGUUGUAAACUGCUUUUGUACGGGGGUAAACGCAGACACGCGUAUCUGUCUGAACGUAUCGUAAGAAUAAGGAUCGGCUAACUCCGUGCCAGCAGCCGCGGUAAUACGGAGGAUUCAAGCGUUAUCCGGAUUUAUUGGGUUUAAAGGGAGCGUAGGCGGUCGGAUAAGUUAGAGGUGAAAUCCAGGGGCUCAACUUCGGAAUUGCUUCUGAUACUGUUCGGCUAGAGUGUAGUUGCGGUAGGCGGAAUGCAUGGUGUAGCGGUGAAAUGCUGAGAGAUCAGACAGAACACCGAUUGCGAAGGCAGCUUACCAAGCUACUACUGACGUUGAGGCACGAAAGCGUGGGGAGCAAACAGGAUUAGAUACCCCAGUAGUC
rnacentral:rRNA from 1 species